rnacentral:rRNA from 1 species
GGCGAACGCUGGCGGCAGGCUUAACACAUGCAAGUCGAGCGAGACUCUUCGGAGUCUAGCGGCGGACGGGUGAGUAACACGUGGGCAACCUGCCUGUAAGACUGGGAUAACACCGGGAAACCGGUGCUAAUACCGGAUAAUCCUUUUCCUCUCAUGAGGAAAAGCUGAAAGUCGGUUUCGGCUGACACUUACAGAUGGGCCCGCGGCGCAUUAGCUAGUUGGUGAGGUAACGGCUCACCAAGGCGACGAUGUGUAGCCGACCUGAGAGGGUGAUCGGCCCAGCUGGGACUGAGACACGGCCCAGACUCCUACGGGGGGCAGCAGUAGGGAAUCUUCCACCAUGGACGAAAGUCUGAUGGAGCAACGCCGCGUGAGCGAUGAAGGCCUUCGGGUCGUAAAGCUCUGUUGUUAGGGAAGAACAAGUACCGGAGUAACUGCCGGUACCUUGACGGUACCUAACCAGAAAGCCACGGCUAACUACGUGCCAGCCGCCGCGGUAAGAC